AGUGAACGCUGGCGGUAGGCCUAACACAUGCAAGUCGAACGGCAGCACAGGAGAUCUUGCUCUCUGGGUGGCGAGUGGCGGACGGGUGAGGAAUACAUCGGAAUCUGCCCAGUCGUGGGGGAUAACGUAGGGAAACUUACGCUAAUACCGCAUACGACCUUCGGGUGAAAGAGGGGGAUCGCAAGACCUCUCGCGAUUGGAUGAGCCGAUGUCGGAUUAGCUAGUUGGCGGGGUAAUGUCCCACCAAGGCGACGAUCCGUAGCUGGUCUGAGAGGAUGAUCAGCCACACGGGAACGGAGACGCGGUCCAGACUACUAAGGGAGGCAGCAGUGGGGAAUAUUGGACAAUGGGCGCAAGCCUGAUCCAGCCAUACCGCGUGGGUGAAGAAGGCCUUCGGGUUGUAAAGCCCUUUUGUUGGGAAAGAAAUCUUUCAGGCUAAUACCCUGGGAGGAUGACGGUACCCAAAGAAUAAGCACCGGCUAACUUCGUG
rnacentral:rRNA from 1 species